AUUGAACGCUGGCGGCAGGCCUAACACAUGCAAGUCGAGCGGAGCGGCGGACGGGUGAGUAAUGCAUAGGAAUCUGCCUGGUAGUGGGGGAUAACGUCCGGAAACGGGCGCUAAUACCGCAUACUAUCAGAUGAGCCUAGGUCGGAUUAGCUAGGUGGGGGGGUAAAGGCCUCACACGGCGACGAUCCUGAACGGGUCUGAGAGGAUGAUCAGUCAAACGGGAACUGAGACAAGGUCCAGACUCCUAAGGGAGGCACCAGUGGGGACUAUUGGACAAUGGGCGAAAGCCUGAUCCAGCCAUGCCGCGUGUGUGAAGAAGGUCUUCGGAUUGUAAAGCACUUUAAGUUGGGAGGCGUUACCAACAGAAUAAGCACCGGCUAACUUCGUGCCAGCAGCCGCGGUAAUUC
rnacentral:rRNA from 1 species